rnacentral:rRNA from 1 species
UGGGGAAUAUUGGGCAAUGGGCGAAAGCCUGACCCAGCAACGCCGCGUGAAGGAAGAAGGCCUUCGGGUUGUAAACUUCUUUUACCAGGGACGAAACAAAUGACGGUACCUGGAGAAAAAGCAACGGCUAACUACGUGCCAGCAGCCGCGGUAAUACGUAGGUUGCAAGCGUUGUCCGGAUUUACUGGGUGUAAAGGGCGUGUAGGCGGAGAUGCAAGUUGGGAGUGAAAUCCCGGGGCUCAACCCCGGAACUGCUUUCAAAACUGUAUCCCUUGAGUAUCGGAGAGGCAAGCGGAAUUCCUAGUGUAGCGGUGAAAUGCGUAGAUAUUAGGAGGAACACCAGUGGCGAAGGCGGCUUGCUGGACGACAACUGACGCUGAGGCGCGAAAGCGUGGGGAGCAAACAGGAUUAGAUACCCUGGUA